GACGAACGCUGGCGGCGUGCCUAAUACAUGCAAGUUGAGCGCUGAAGGUUGGUACUUGUACCAACUGGAUGAGCAGCGAACGGGUGAGUAACGCGUGGGGAAUCUGCCUUUGAGCGGGGGACAACAUUUGGAAACGAAUGCUAAUACCGCAUAAAAACUUUAAACACAAGUUUUAAGUUUGAAAGAUGCAAUUGCAUCACCCAAAGAUGAUCCCGCGUUGUAUUAGCUAGUUGGUGAGGUAAAGGCUCACCAAGGCGAUGAUACAUAGCCGACCUGAGAGGGUGAUCGGCCACAUUGGGACUGAGACACGGCCCAAACUCCUACGGGAGGCAGCAGUAGGGAAUCUUCGGCAAUGGACGAAAGUCUGGCCGAGCAACGCCGCGUGAGUGAAGAAGGUUUUCGGAUCGUAAAACUCUGUUGGUAGAGAAGAACGUUGGUGAGAGUGGAAAGCUCAUCAAGUGACGGUAACUACCCAGAAAGGGACGGCUAACUACGUG
rnacentral:rRNA from 1 species